UAUCUACCCCUCUCUACCCGCCUCUUAUGCCCUUUUACCCCUCUACCCUCCUCCAUUACUUCUUUGGGCACUCGCCCAAUAGUGUGCGGCUGGCAGCUGUGCGCAUGCGCAGCGGCGGUCUUGUGAUGGCUGUUCGCUCCCGGAGCUAAGAGUUCCUCCAGAGCCAUGUUAGUACCGGAGACCGGACAGCAGCACCGGGACACCGGCCUGAGCCUGUGAGCCGAGCCGAGCCGAGCCGAGCCGCGCUAACGACUCCUGGACCGGUUCGUGGACGGUAACGAGCAGCGGCGGCGGCGGGAGGCUCGAUUCGGUGGACGGCGGCCUGCAAGCGGCGGAGAGGAGAGCGGAGAGCCGGGGAUGGUCCCGGUGGUCCGGUACGAACCGUGAAGGAAUCCAGAGAUCACCUGGAGGCUCAGGACAGUUGGUCGGAUAGCAGCAGCAGCUACAGCAGCAGCUACAGCAGCAGCUACAGCAGCAGCUACAGCAGCAGCUACAGCAGCAGCUACAGCAGCAGCUACAGCAGCAGCAGCAGCCAUGGAGGCCUCACAGGACCGCAGCCAGCAGAUGGUGAAGAAAUCUCUCAGUGAAUCUCAUGUUCCAGAAUCUGCAGACGCCAGGUCUAUGGACAUGCAGGACCUAACCAGUCCUCAUAACCGGGUUGGAGAGUCGACGGGCUCCAAACUGGAGAAGAACCUGGAGAGUCCGUCCAUCACCAGCAAUGGAACCGGAGGUGAGAGCAUGACCGUUCUAAACACGGCUGAUUGGCUGCUGGGCUGCAGCAGCCCGCCCCCCGGCGCCGCCUCCAAGGACUAUGUGAAAAUGGAGCCGAUGAACAGCAGCGAAUCCGUGACGACGACGGGCGACACGGCGCUGGACACGUACGCAGGUUCAGUCAUCACCACCAGUGGUUACAGUCCUCGAUCAGCCCACCAGUACUCUCCUCCUCUCUACCCCUCCAAACCUUACCCCCACAUCCUGUCCACACCGGCCGCCCCUCCGAUGCCGUCCUACGCCGGCCAGCCUCAGUUCAGCAGUAUGCAGCAGUCCAGCGUCUACACGGCGUAUUCUCAGAGCGGCCAGGCAUACGGACUGUCCUCCUAUGACCUGGGCGUGAUGCUUCCUGGUAUUAAAACAGAAGGAGGACUGACCCAGAGUCAGUCUCCUCUCCAGACUGGACUCAGCUACAGUCCUGGAUUCACCACACCUCAACCUGGACAGACGGCCUACUCACCCUAUCAGAUGCCAGGUUCCACUUUCACUCCAUCUUCAGGCCUCUACGCCUCCAACAACUCAGUGUCCAACCCUGCCAACUACACCGCCACACAGCAGGACUAUCCCUCCUACAGCACUUUCGGCCAAAACCAGUACGCCCAGUAUUACUCCGCCUCUACCUACGGAACCUACAUGACCUCCAACAGCGUGGAUGGAACCGGUUCCACAACCGCCUACCAGCUGCAGGACCCCAGCCCCGUCAUGACUGGACAGGCCGCCGAGCUCCACCCAGGAGACUUUGACACGGUCCAGAGUCCGUCCACGCCCAUCAAGGAGCUGGAGGACCGAGCCUGCCGGGGUGGAGGCUCCAAGUCCAGGGGCCGGGGCCGCAAGAACAACCCGUCCCCUCCGCCGGACAGCGACCUGGAGAGGGUGUUUGUGUGGGAUCUGGAUGAAACCAUUAUCGUCUUCCAUUCUCUGCUCACGGGUUCCUACGCUCAGAAGUAUGGAAAGGACCCUCCCAUGGCGGUGACGCUCGGCCUGAGGAUGGAGGAGAUGAUCUUCAACCUGGCCGACACUCAUUUAUUCUUCAACGACCUGGAGGAAUGUGAUCAGGUCCAUAUUGAUGACGUGUCAUCAGACGACAACGGCCAGGACUUAAGUACUUACAGUUUUGCGACUGAUGGCUUCCAUGAAGCUGCAACCAGCGCCAACCUCUGCCUGGCCACGGGGGUCCGAGGGGGGGUGGACUGGAUGAGGAAACUGGCCUUCCGCUACCGACGGGUCAAAGAGCUGUACAGCUCCUACAAGAACAACGUGGGCGGUCUGCUGGGUCCGGCUAAGAGGGACGCCUGGCUGCAGCUCAGAGCAGAAGUAGAAGCUCUGACCGACUCCUGGCUCACCCACGCUCUGAAGUCUCUGUCCAUCAUCAGCUCCAGGAGUAACUGUGUAAAUGUGUUGGUGACGACGACGCAGCUCAUCCCAGCUCUGGCUAAGGUUCUCCUGUACAGUCUGGGUUCCGUGUUUCCCGUCGAGAACAUCUACAGCGCAACAAAAAUAGGCAAAGAAAGCUGUUUUGAGCGUAUAGUCUCCCGCUUUGGCGCUAACAUUACAUAUGUUGUGGUGGGCGAUGGGAAGGAUGAAGAGCAUGCGGCCGGACAGGUAAACACUCACCUGCGACCUGUGACCUCUGACCAUGUGACCUCCUCCCUGUGUAUCUGUUCUCUGCAGGAAAAGAGAGUUGCUUUGAGCGCAUAAUGCAAAGGUUUGGCAGGAAAGUAGUGUAUGUAGUGGUGGGUGACGGUGUGGAAGAGGAGCAGGCGGCCAAAAAGCACAACAUGCCGUUCUGGAGGAUAUCCAGCCACUCGGACCUGCUGGCGCUGCACCAGGCCCUGGAGUUCGAGUACCUGUAACCGUGGGAACCGUGGUAACCGUGGUAACCGUGGCGACAGCAGGACUCGGGCGACGGAGUUUUUUUCUACGACUAUUUAAGAACAAACUGCAGCUUUCUGUCUGUUUUCUGUGUUUUUUUUCUGAAUGUCUGGAUUUGCAAACUCUGAACGGUCUUAAAGAGGACUACCAAGUCCUGGUCCUGAUGCUGGAGCCCUGACUCCUGAAAGACUCGGAGGAUUUGGCUGAACCCAGAGGACUCGGCUGAUGAACUCUGAGGACUCGGCUGGACUCUGAGGACUCUGUUGAUGAACCCGAAGGACUCGGCUGAACUCUGAGGACUUGGCUGGACUCUGAAGACUCAGCUAAUGGACUCGGAGGACUCUGUUGAUGAACCUGAAGUACUCCAAGGACUCGGCUAAACUCUGAGGACUCGGCUGAUGACUCGGAAGACUCAGCUGAAUUCUGAGGACUCGGCUGGACUCUGAGGUCUUGACUGAGCUCUGAGGACUCCCGGCUGAUGGACUUGGAGGACUCUGAGGAUUCAUCUGAUGAACUUGGAGGACUCGGAGAUCUCGGCUGAGCUCUGAGGACUCAUUUGUUGAAUUCAGAGGACUCAUCUGGACACUGAGGACUCGUCUGAUGAACUCUGAGGACGUGGAGUACUCGUCUGAACUGGUCCUGCUGGUCUGUCUCUGUACGGAAUUCCUCCUGUAUCUGGGCUGUUGUUUCUUCCUGCUGGACUCUGAGGACUUUGAUGAACUCAGGGGACUCGUCUGAUGAAUUCUGAGGACUCGUCUGGACUUGGAGGACUCGUCUGAAACUCCUCCUGUAUCUAGGCUGGUGUUUCUUCCUCUGAACUUUGUGUAAAUUAUUUCCUGACGGACGGUGGAGGAAGCUUUAGGAGGACGUUGUUGUUUUUUUGUUAAUUUGAGGUUUUUCUAUUUGGUUUACUCUGAGGAGCAGGUGGAGGGUGGAGAUGUGACGUGUUGUGCCUUAAUGUGUUUGAAUGUUUUUCUUUAAUCUGUCUGUAGAUAUAAAGGAGGAAUCAGA